rnacentral:rRNA from 1 species
GACGAACGCUGGCGGCGUGCUUAACACAUGCAAGUCGAACGGUGAAGCGCCUUCCUUUUUGGUGGGUGUGGAUGAGUGGCGAACGGGUGAGUAACACGUGAGUAACCUGCCCCCUUCUUCUGGAUAACCGCAUGAAAGUGUGGCUAAUACGGGAUAUUCUGGGUCUGUCGCAUGAUGGGUCUGGGAAAGAUAUUGUUUCGGUGGGGGAUGGGCUCGCGGCCUAUCAGCUUGUUGGUGGGGUGAUGGCCUACCAAGGCGGUGACGGGUAGCCGGCCUGAGAGGGUGGACGGUCACACUGGGACUGAGACACGGCCCAGACUCCUACGGGAGGCAGCAGUGGGGAAUAUUGCACAAUGGGCGCAAGCCUGAUGCAGCGACGCCGCGUGAGGGAUGGAGGCCUUCGGGUUGUGAACCUCUUUCGCCAGUGAAGCAGGCCUGCCUCGUCUGUGGGUGGGUUGACGGUAGCUGGAUAAGAAGCGCCGGCUAACUACGUG